rnacentral:rRNA from 1 species
GACGAACGCUGGCGGCGUGCCUAAUACAUGCAAGUCGAACGAAGCUGUUUUAACUGGUGCUUGCACCGACUUAAACAACUGAGUGGCGAACGGGUGAGUAACACGUGGGUAACCUGCCCCAAAGCGGGGGAUAACAUUUGGAAACAGAUGCUAAUACCGCAUAACCACAGAAACCACAUGGUUUCUGUGUCAAAGAUGGUUUCGGCUAUCACUUUGGGAUGGACCCGCGGCGUAUUAGCUAGUUGGUAAGGUAAUGGCUUACCAAGGCAAUGCGACGUAGCCCAACUGAGAGGUUGAUCGGCCACAUUGGGACGGAGACACGGCCCAAACUCCUACGGGAGGCAGCAGUAGGGAAGCGUCCACAAUGGAAGAAAGUCUGAUGGAGCAACGCCGCGUGAGUGAAGAAGGUUUUCGGAUCGUAAAACUCUGUUGUCAGAGAAGAACGUGUGCGAGAGUAACUGCUCGUGCAGUGACGGUAUCUGGCCAGAAAGCCACGGCUAACUACGUGCCAGCCGCCGCGGUAA